rnacentral:rRNA from 1 species
UACGUAGGGGGCAAGCGUUGUCCGGAUUUACUGGGCGUAAAGCGCGUGUAGGCGGCCACGCAGGUCCGUUGUGAAAACUGGAGGCUCAACUUCCAGACGUCGACGGAAACCGUGUGGCUAGAGUCCGGAAGAGGAGAGUGGAAUUCCUGGUGUAGCGGUGAAAUGCGCAGAUAUCAGGAAGAACACCAAUGGCGAAGGCAGCUCUCUGGGACGGUACUGACGCUGAGACGCGAAAGCGUGGGGAGCGAACAGGAUUAGAUACCCUGGUAGUCCACGCCGUAAACGAUGGGUGCUAGGUGUGGGAGGUGUCGACUCCUUCCGUGCCGUAGCUAACGCAUUAAGCACCCCGCCUGGGGAGUACGGCCGCAAGGCUA